rnacentral:rRNA from 27 species
AAGGCAGCAGGCACGCAAAUUACCCACUCCCGGCACGGGGAGGUAGUGACAAAAAAUAACGAUACGGGACUCAUCCGAGGCCCCGUAAUCGGAAUGAGUACACUUUAAAUCCUUUAACAAGGAUCCAAUGGAGGGCAAGUCUGGUGCCAGCAGCCGCGGUAAUUCCAGCUCCAUUAGCGUAUAUUAAAGUUGUUGCGGUUAAAAAGCUCGUAGUUGGUUCUGCGUCCCACGAUGCUGGUUCACCGCCUGACGGUGCAACUGGCAUGCCGUGGGAUGUCCUGUCGGUGGUGGCCUUGGCCCACGGCGCGUGUAGGUACUAUACCGAAGCACGUCGUGUGUCGCCAAGGAUCGCCGAUCCAAUCCUGCCUCGGUGCUUUUUAUCGAGUGUCGAGGUGGGCCGACACGUUUACUUUGAACAAAUUAGAGUGCUCAAAGCAGGCUAAUUAUGCCUGGAUAUUGGUGCAUGGAAUAAUGGAAUAGGACCUCGGUUCUAUUUUGUUGGUUUUCGGAAUCCGAGGUAAUGAUCAAUAUGGACAGGCGGGGGCAUUCGUAUUGCGACGUUAGAGGUGAAAUUCUUGGAUCGUCGCAAGACGGACUAGAGCGAAAGCAUUUGCCAAGUAUGUCUUAGUUGAUCAAGAACGAAAGUUAGAGGUUCGAAGGCGAUCAGAUACCGCCCUAGUUCUAACCAUAAACGAUGCCAGCCAGCGAUCCGCCGAUGUUCCUCCGAUGACUCGG